rnacentral:rRNA from 1 species
UACGGAGGGUGCAAGCGUUAUCCGGAUUCAUUGGGUUUAAAGGGUGCGUAGGUGGGCAGGUAAGUCCGUGGUGAAAUCUCUGAGCUUAACUCAGAAACUGCCGUGGAUACUAUUUGUCUUGAAUAUUGUGGAGGUGAGCGGAAUAUGUCAUGUAGCGGUGAAAUGCUUAGAUAUGACAUAGAACACCAAUUGCGAAGGCAGCUCACUACACAAUUAUUGACGCUGAGGCACGAAAGCGUGGGGAUCAAACAGG